rnacentral:miRNA from 1 species
UCAGAAGCCCUCUCCAU